CGCUCCUUUUGGACACUAUCUCUUGAACCACUCCUCCGGUUUUUCACCUUCAUAUUUAGGCUAAAACCCCAAAACUCCCUCCAGUUUUCCCUCUCUUUCUCUGAUCUUCAUAACCCAUAUUCCCAAUCACUCCAUCUUCGCUUCCUCUUCUCUUCUGCUUUCCUCUAUGUCGAGUUCUCGACCUCCUAACUCCUCUGGACACCUUCCUCAUCAGAUCACGCACUCUCUUAAACGCCAACUCCCUUUAUCUUCUAUGAAACCACCAUUUGCAUCUCCUGGGGACUAUCACCGCUUCGCUCCCGACUCUCGACUCGCCGAUCAAGAACCUGAUGCUAUCGUACUCAAAUCUCCACAAUUGAAGCGGAAGAGUGAGGUAGCAGAUUAUGAAGCCGAGUCAACUGAUAGAGCAAUUGGUCCUAGAUUCGUGAGGUAGUUAACCGUCCCCAUCAAACACCUGUAUCUGUCAAAGGAGGAAAGGGAGGCAAAUCAAGGCUUACAAAAUACAGUAGAUCAGGGCCACAGACUCCCAUUUCAAAUGUUGGUUCAUCUUCUACAAACAAUCUCACUCCAGCUGGUCCAUGCCGUUACGAUAGUUCUCUUAGUAGCUUGUUACUCCUGAAGACUUUGUUGUAGCUGUCAUAUAUUUCCUACUAUUGUAUGUUCCUAAUUUUAGUGGUUUUCGUCUAGGUUUCUUGACAAAGAAGUUCAUUAAUCUGAUUAAACAAGCAGAAGAUGGUAUUCUUGAUCUAAAUAAAGCAGCUGACACGUUGGAGGUUUCUGUGUUUCUAGAACAUUACAGACCUCCAUUGUGAAGUUCAAGAAGCUGACAUUUAUUUUUGCUUUAAUAGGUACAAAAAAGACGAAUAUAUGAUUUAACAAAUGCCCUCAAGGGAAUUGUUCUCACAGGAAAGAAGCUUAAGAACAGAAUUCAGUGGAAACUCCCUAUCAUGCACUAGUAGAAGGAAGAAGGGAAUAAUUGAAGCACGUGCUAAAGAAGAGAGUUAGUUAGUCUGUUAGUUAAAGAGGCAGUUAAUAUUGUUAGUAUAUUGUUAGUAUAAAUAAAUGAUAUGUUAGGAGGGAUAGGCUUGUGUGCACCUUUGAGAGAUAAGGUAAUAGAGGAGUAGUGGUAUCCGAAUUGAGAUCUUCUCAAUUUGACAGUUUCAUUCUAUUGUUUGUAAGAGAUUGUUACUUAAUACUAUCAAUAAAGCAUUACCAAUGAAUCCAAGUUCGGGUCCCAUCAUAUUGGUAUUAGAGCUUGUUCAUUCUAGGCAAACUAUGUAAGAUGGUGAAACAAGUGAAAGAGAGGUUUAAAAUCAUAGAACAAGAAAUCUCGAGCAUGAAGAUCGGCAACAGCUAUUGGAACUCGAAACCAAGGUGACGGAACAUAUGGAGAAGAUCGAUUUUAGAAUGAAAAGAAUAUACAACAACUGAUUCUGAAAUAUAUUGAAAGUAUGAUGAAAGAGCAAUCUCCAUCGACACCAAAAUCGGAAGGAUCAACGAGUAAAAUGAAAGCGAAGAUGUUCGAGUUAAGCGAAGAACCGAAAUUGAACGAUAAAGAGGAUGGCGAGAAGAACAAUGGCCGGAAUAAAUUCAAGAAGGUAGAAAUGUCGGUAUUCAAUGGCGAAGACCCGAAUUCCUGGUUGUUUCAUGCUGAUAGAUAUUUCCAUAUUCACAAACCAAAUUCUUGGACCAACGUUGAACUAGUUUAGAGCAUAGGAAGAGCCGGAAAAUUUCACAGGUUGGUCGAAUUUAAAAGAAAGAUUGCUGGUGUGAUUUCGAUCGGUGAGAGAAGGCUUUAUAUGCUGUCAAUUUUUUAGAAUCAUGCAAGAAACUACAGUGGAAGAGUAUUGAAA